rnacentral:rRNA from 1 species
GUUCGGAUUGUAGUCUGCAACCCGACUACAUGAAGCUGGAAUCGCUAGUAAUCGCGGAUCAGAAUGCCGCGGUGAAUACGUUCCCGGGUCUUGUACACACCGCCCGUCACACCAUGGGAGUCGGAAAUGCCCGAAGUCUGUGACCCAACCGGAAGGAGGGAGCAGCCGAAGGCAGGUCGGAUGACUGGGGUGAAGUCGUAACAAGGUAUC